rnacentral:rRNA from 1 species
CCUACGGGUGGCAGCAGUGAGGAAUAUUGGUCAAUGGACGAGAGUCUGAACCAGCCAAGUAGCGUGAAGGAUGACUGCCCUAUGGGUUGUAAACUUCUUUUAUAAAGGAAUAAAACGAGGCACGUGUGCCGUUUUGCAUGUACUUUAUGAAUAAGGAUCGGAUAACUCCGUGCCAGCAGCCGCGGUAAUACGGAGGAUCCGAGCGUUAUCCGGAUUUAAUGGGUUUAAAGGGAGCGUAGAUGGGUUGUUAAGUCAGUUGUGAAAGUUUGCGGCUCAACCGUAAAAUUGCAAUUGAUACUGGCAGUCUUGAGUACAGUUGAGGUAGGCGGAAUUCGUGGUGUAGCGGUGAAAUGCUUAGAUAUCACGAAGAACCCCGAUUGCGAAGGCAGCUUACUAAACUGUGACUGACAUUGAUGCUCGAAAGUGUGGGUAUCAAACAGGAUUAGAUACCCCUGUAGUC